rnacentral:lncRNA from 1 species
UGGGUAAGUGUAAAAUUAAGCUGUACUUGUCUUUCAUGUCAAAAUUGUGUAUGAUUGCAAAAUAAGCAGAAUAUGUAUGUUGCCGUCAUGAACUCAUGUUACAAUCCUAAUCAUGGAAUCGAUUUGAUCAUCAAAUUAUAGAUUAUAAGUUCAUAACCUAUAUGAGCUCAAUCAAGUUCAUAACCUAUAUGAGCUCAAUCAAGUUCAUAACCUAUAUGAGCUCAGUCGAGGAAACAAUGGUUAACAUUUAGGAGCUGUUUCUGCUAAUAUCAAACUGUACUUGCAGAA